rnacentral:rRNA from 1 species
UACGUAGGUGACAAGCGUUGUCCGGAUUUACUGGGCGUAAAGGGCGCGUAGGCGGCCUGCUAAGUCGAACGUGAAAUCCCUGGGCUCAACCCAGGAACUGCGUCCGAUACUGGUUGGCUUGAAUCCGGGAGAGGGAUGCAGAAUUCCAGGUGUAGCGGUGAAAUGCGUAGAUAUUAGGAAGAACACCAGUGGCGAAGGCGGCUCACUGGCCCGGUACUGACGCUGAGGCGCGAAAGCGUGGGGAGCAAACAGG